GGACGAACGGGUGCGUAACACGUGAGCAACCUACCGAAGUGUGGGGGAGUAGCCGGCCUAACGGCCGAGUAAUACCGCAUACGAUUCCGAAGAGGCAUUUCUUUUGGAAUGAAACCUACGGGGUACUUCGAGGGGCUCGCGGCCUAUCAGCUAGUUGGUGAGGUAACGGCUCACCAAGGCAACGACGGGUAGCUGGUCUGAGAGGAUGGCCAGCCACAUUGGGACUGAGAAACGGCCCAG
rnacentral:rRNA from 1 species